rnacentral:rRNA from 1 species
UGGGUAAUAUUGGACAAUGGGCGAAAGCCUGAUCCAGCCAUGCCGCGUGUGUGAAGAAGGUCUUCGGAUUGUAAAGCACUUUAAGUUGGGAGGAAGGGCAGUAAGCGAAUACCUUGCUGUUUUGACGUUACCGACAGAAUAAGCACCGGCUAACUCUGUGCCAGCAGCCGCGGUAAUACAGAGGGUGCAAGCGUUAAUCGGAAUUACUGGGCGUAAAGCGCGCGUAGGUGGUUCGUUAAGUUGAAUGUGAAAGCCCCGGGCUCAACCUGGGAACUGCAUCCAAAACUGGCGAGCUAGAGUAGGGCAGAGGGUGGUGGAAUUUCCUGUGUAGCGGUGAAAUGCGUAGAUAUAGGAAGGAACACCAGUGGCGAAGGCGACCACCUGGGCUCAUACUGACACUGAGGUGCGAAAGCGUGGGGAGCAAACAGG